rnacentral:lncRNA from 1 species
NNNNNNNNNNNNNNNNNNNNNNNNNNNNNNNNNNNNNNNNNNNNNNNNNNNNNNNNNNNNNNNNNNNNNNNNNNNNNNNNNNNNNNNNNNNNNNNNNNNNNNNNNNNNNNNNNNNNNNNNNNNNNNNNNNNNNNNNNNNNNNNNNNNNNNNNNNNNNNNNNNNNNNNNNNNNNNNNNNNNNNNNNNNNNNNNNNNNNNNNNNNNNNNNNNNNNNNNNNNNNNNNNNNNNNNNNNNNNNNNNNNNNNNNNNNNNNNNNNNNNNNNNNNNNNNNNNNNNNNNNNNNNNNNNNNNNNNNNNNNNNNNNNNNNNNNNNNNNNNNNNNNNNNNNNNNNNNNNNNNNNNNNNNNNNNNNNNNNNNNNNNNNNNNNNNNNNNNNNNNNNNNNNNNNNNNNNNNNNNNNNNNNNNNNNNNNNNNNNNNNNNNNNNNNNNNNNNNNNNNNNNNNNNNNNNNNNNNNNNNNNNNNNNNNNNNNNNNNNNNNNNNNNNNNNNNNNNNNNNNNNNNNNNNNNNNNNNNNNNNNNNNNNNNNNNNNNNNNNNNNNNNNNNNNNNNNNNNNNNNNNNNNNNNNNNNNNNNNNNNNNNNNNNNNNNNNNNNNNNNNAAAAAAAAAAAAAAAAAAAAGAGGGAUAAAACUGCUAUGACCAUUCUUACGCAGAUCUUUUUUUGGAACUAUGUUAUUUUUCUUGGGUAAAUAAAUAUGUCUCUUGGGGAGAUACCUAGAAGUAGAAUUGCUGGAUAAUAAGAGUAGAUGUGUGCUUAACUUCAUAAGAAAUGCCAGUCAUUUCCAAACCCCAGCGUGUGGUAUUGUUAGUCUUUUUAAUUUUAACCAUUCUCUUUUGUGUCUGGUAGUAGCUCUUUGCGGCUUUAAUCACAUUACCUGAUGACUAAAGAUGAGGAGCAUCUUUUCAUAAACUGGUGUUCAUUAGUGUAGUGUCUGUUAAAGUCUUUCUUUCCUUAUUUAUUUAUUUUUGAGUCAGAGUCUCACUCUGUCACCUACGCUGGAAUGCAGUGGCAUAAUCAUGGCUCAUGGCAGCUGCAACCUCCUGGGCUUAAGCAGUCCUCCCUUUCAUAACAGGUGUUCUUCCUUUUUUUGCUUUUCUUAGGGAUUGAGGAAUGAUUUGAAAGCAGCCUUGGAUAAGAUUGAUCAGCAGUACCUCAAUGAAAUCGUCGGCGGUCAGGAGCCUGGAGAGGAAGACACACAGAAUGAUCUGAAAGUUCAUGAGGAAAACACCACAAUUGAAGAGUUAGAGGUAAUCUCUACACCAAGCCCAGCACAUCCCUGGCACCCUUCUUUCCUCUGGAGCAGAUGACUGAGUCGGGCAGAUUGUUGAGGGCAGAGCACACUGUUGUCCUUGGUCUUUUGUUUAUUUACUCCUCGCUUCUAUUUAUUUACUCCCCUUUUUCUCAUCCUCCACUCACAUUUCCCUACUUCCUGCCUUCAAAAGGAACCCAUUCUAAUAUGUUGGAUAUGCAUCCUUCUGUUUGUUGGUGCUCUUGUGACCUGCAGUGUUUUGUGAGCAUGUAUUUUUGAUUUACAUAAAUGAUGUUAUGCUGUGAAAUUCUUUAUUCCGUGUUUUACUUUUCUUUUUUUCAGUUAGCACUAUGUUUUUAAGAGCUAUCCUUGAUGCUCUGUGUACACUGAAUCCUUUGCUUUUAAUUGCUACAUAGGAUUCCAUGUGUUACGCCAUUCACUGCAUUUGACUUUUUGUUCUCCAGUAGUGAUGGACAGCUAGAUUGUUCCCAGCUCUCUCCUACCACAAACAGCUUCCUGAUGAACAGUCUUGUGCAUAACCACGAUGGCCUAACAAAGUGGGAUUGUGGGAUUUAUAUGUGUAUUUAACUUGUCUAAGUACUGCCAAGUUACUCUCUGGAAUGGCUGUCCUAGUCUACACCCAGCAGUGUGAGGGUCUCCUGUCUUUCCAGCCCUGCCAACACUUGGCAAUAUCUUGCUGUCUGAUUUUUGCUAUAGUGCUGCUUUUGGAGUGUUAGUGUAUAAUCUUAAUUAAAAAGCAAUUUUGUAUCAUGUAAGUAGCAUGUAAAAUAAAUAUGGCUUAAAGUUCUUAAUGCUUAAGGAAACAUAAACUUAUUUUUCUGUUUCCUUUAUUUCCUGGCUCUUGCAUGUGUAGCUGUCCCUCUGAAUAAGAUCAUAGUUGAGGAAGACGUCAUUUUAAUCCCCUGCCUCCUCCAAUACCUGUCUAUGGUCCCUAAACUUUACUAAAAUAAUUGGUAUGGGCAACCAGUUGUGGGCUUUUUUUUUUUUCCUAUUGGUGUAUUUAUUUAUUUUUAAAAAAACAGCUUUAUUGAGAUAUUGACAUACCAUACAGUUGACUGAUUUAACAUAUACAAAUCAGUGGUUUUUAGUAUAUUCACAUGGUGGUGCAACCAUCAUCACAAUCUAAUUUUAGAACAUUUUGGUUCCCCCAAAAAGAAAUCUCACAUUCAUUACCCCCUCUUGACUUUUCAUAAAAGAUAACAUGCUCUCCAAAUUUAAGUGGCAAAUCCAUGUUUUUUGUUUUUGGUUUCUUAUCUAGAAAUUCCAUCAGAUUUUUAAGUAAAAAUUGAACAGCAUAUGUGACCAAGAGCCAUGUUUAGACUGGUGUUGGUAAUAUAUAUGUUUAGUUGUUGCUCUGUAUUAAUGAACAGAAGCAUUGUUUCUUUUUCUUCAGGCGCUUGGAGAGUCCUUAGGGAAAGGCGAUGAUCAUAAAGACAUGGACAUCAUCACCAAAUUCCUGAAGGUGCGUGUCUUAGGCGAGGGGAUGAGGAUGCCUUGGAUCCUUAUGAACUAUUCUUAUAUUUUUGGAUUACCAAGUGUUAAAGGCUGGAACGGGAAAGCCUCAAUACACAUUUCUCGCACAUACAUGAUGUUUAUGAUAUCGCUAUGCACUUGAUGUAGCAGUUAGUAAGAGAAAAUGCAUAUUUACUUUUCUUGUGGCUUUUUUUUUUUUUUUUGGAAACAGAGUCUUGCUCUUGUCUCUCCAGCUGGGGUGCAAUGGUGUAAUCUCAGCUCACUGCAACCUCCACCUCCCGGGUUCAAGUGAUUCUCCUGCCUCAGCCUCCUGAGUAGCUGGGAUUACAGGCACCCACCACCAUGCUUGGCUAAUUUUUGUAUUUUUAGUAGAGAUCGGGUUUCAACAUGUUGGCCACGCUGGUCUUGAACUCCUGACCUCAGGUGAUCCACCCACCUUAGCCUCCCAAAGUGCUGGGAUUACAGGCAUGAGCCACUGCGCCUGGUCUACUUUUCUUGUGACAUAUUUUUUAAAGCUGGCUCAUUAAUGUAAACACAUAGAAAAGAAUCACAACAGCAGAAUUAAUAAGAAGUUGGUAGAGUUGCUUAUUUUUUUCUUGAGGCAGAGUCUUGCUCUGUCGCCCAGGCUGGAAUGCAGUGGCACCAUCUCGGCUUGCUGCAACCACUGCUUCCUGGAUUCAAGCGAUUCUCCUGCCUCAGCCUCUCAAGUAGCAUGCCACCACACCCGACUAGUUUUUGUAUUUUUUAUUUAUUUAUUUAUUUAUUUUUUAGUAGAGACAGGGUUUCACCCUGUUGGCCAGGCUGGUCUUGAACUCCUGACCACAAGUUAUCCGCCUGCCUCGGCCUCCCAAAAUCCUGGGAUUAUAGGCGUGAGCCACAGUGUCCUGCUGAAUUUCUAGACAACCCAAGGAAGAAGAGGGUUCUAGCUUUUUUUUUUUUUUUUUUUUUUUUUUUUUUUUUUUUUAGCAAAAGUGUCUUUCUCUGUUGCCUAGGCUGGAGUGCAGUGGUGUCAUCCUAGCUCGCUGUAACCUUGAAAUCCUGGGCUCAUCAACCUCCCGAGUGGUAGGGCAUGUACCACCAUGCCCAGCUAAUUUUUUAGUUUUUUUUGUAACCUUUCAGAGAAUGCUCAAUUCUUCAGUUCUACAAAUAGCUGCCUAUUUUUGCUGACUUGCUGAUUCCAACCGUCUUCUCAACAUUUCUCUCUUUAGUGGUCUAGAUAGAGUAUGAACAAAUCCCAGAUAUUUUAUUGUUUAUUCACAAACUGUGUUCAGACCAAGAGAUUUACAUGCAAGGAAUGCUUUUUCUUGUGUGUACAGUUUAGAUACAACAUAUUAUUCAUCAAGAUUCUGAAUAUAUUGAGGAUACAGCAUGGAAGUAGAUAGGGCCUAGGAAUUAGUAUGAACUAGAAUUUCCUCUUUGAGUGAUGGCCUCUUCUUUUUUAGGAUAUGCAUAGAUGAUGGCCCUAGAGGAAAACAUCCUCCUCAGCCUUCUCUGUUUCCUACUUCCAGGAAGGGUGCUCUUUAUACAGUUAAACCCAAGGGGCACUGAGGUAGUUUUCUAGGAGUGGGGGUGGGGUGGGAAUGCUGGGUCUUGGCUUCUUUAUUUCUGUUUCUCUUUCUCCUUCCUCUCCUUUAGUCAGGUGCUUUCGUGGUUUUUAAACUUAAUCAUGGUCUCUACAGCAUAUGUAGAAAGUCCAGUUUUCUUGUAACUCGUAACUUGUUGAAUUUUAUGUAUAUAAUACAAAUACAAAUACAAGUUUAUUUCCUGUCAAAUAGUUAACUAUGAAACCUGAUAGUUGUUUUCUGAGGGGAGCAAAUUAUCUUGAGCUAGGAAUAGAUGUAGACUAGGGAAGUUGGUGACUUGCCAAAGGUACUACUUCAAAGCAUUAUCAUGACCAAUAAGCAGAACUAGCUUAUUCUAUAUUAUUUGGUGGCGUUUUAAUCAAGACAUUUACUUUAAGGAUGAUUGUAUUCUGUUUUUGUGUGCUAGAGAGCAUUUAGAUGUACUGAACCACUGGGUGGCAUUGUAGUCUAAGUUUACCCAUCCUUUUCAACAGUUUCUUCUUGGCGUUUGGGCUAAAGAAUUGAAUGCCAGAGAAGAUUAUGUGAAACGCAGUGUGCAGGGUAAACUGAACAGUGCGACCCAGAAACAGACCGAGUCCUACCUCAGACCACUUUUCAGAAAGCUACGGAAAAGGGUGAGGUUUCUUGGAAAAUACUUUUUUUAACUGACUUUAAAAAUACAGUAUAAAUUUAGAAUAAAUGCAGUCUGUUUUUUCCCUAUACAUCUAUACAUAGUAGCUUCCAAAAUUUCUUAUUAUUUUUUUCAGAAUCUUCCUGCUGAUAUUAAAGAAUCAAUAACGGAUAUUAUUAAAUUCAUGUUGCAGAGAGAAUAUGUGAAGGUACAUUCCCAUGCUGUUCUUUGAAAUUGUUAAGAGUAUAUCUAGGUUAUGUACAUAAUAUAAUGUUCAUUUGGGAUAGGAAGAUUUUACAUAGUAGAUUUAAGAAUAAAUGUGAGAUGAGUUAGUAGUAAAAAGCGUUUUAUUUUCUAUUGUAUUUGCCAGCUUUACUGUUAGGCAUUGAAUAACAAACCUGACUAAGAAAAUACAGACCUCAUCUGUAUGCUCUUGGUCAUUUUUAAAAUAGGCCUAAAGGUUCUUCGGAGCAUGAACUUCAUAUAGGCAGUGUUCAUUUUAUGAAUUUCAAAGUUUUGUAAGUGGCUGAUUAUGUCUUGGAACAAAUUUUCCCAUAGAAACAACGUUGUAUAGAUGAGUUUCCCAGGAUGGUCAUAAAAGCCCCUUUAAUCUGUAAUAUAGCUGAACUGUUGCACUGAUGGUACAGUGGAAUUUAACCACUCUUUGUAAUUGUUUCUAUGGGGAAAUGGUUCAAGCAAGGCUUCCAGGACUCAUCUCUCCCAUUUCAGUGUUGCAGACCCGUGCAGGGGAAGUCUCUCCUCCCUUGCCCCAGUGUCUGUACUCCUGAAUGGGCUCUGGGAGGCGGCAGUGAGGGAAAGGGUGCUGGUGUCCAGGGCUCCCUGAGAUAGAGUUUAGAAAGGGGUGAGAGGAGGACUGUCAGUUGGUACAGGGGAACAAGAAGGGAAGGGCCCAAUGCACCAGUAGUGGCAAUGAAGAAAGGACAGAGUUUGAGGGAGGCUUCUUGUGGCCAUGCCUCCCAAGACACUAGGAGUAGAGCAUUUCAGUGCAGCAACCCCAGUGCCAGUGCCAGAGCGGUAGGGAACUCGGAAUGACAUUGCUUAUCCAGUGCUGUAUCUGUAUACUGACGUAACAAGGGACUGCUGGCAUUCCUGAGUGACUGGAUGAUUUACUUGAUUAGAGCCUUAGGCUAAAGAGGUUCCUGCAGUGAUUUUACUCCUUUUAAGAGCCAGCCAGUUUUCUCAAAGAAAAUAUUUUUUGCCUUACAGUUAUAAAUGUGCUUCUUAGUUUCUGUCAGUUGCAUGAUUCUUACUAAGGAUGGUUGCAUUGGCAUGGAUGGAUAAGGUCACCAUCACUGCAGGAAGAAUGCACAUCACUCCCUGCUAGAAUGGAUGCCUUUCCUCUUACUGCUUUUUCUCGUGAUCACAUAUCAGAACUAAGUGCAAGUGCAAGCUUAUUUUGUAUAAACUACAGAAAGAACCAAGAAGCUUUAAUAACCUGUUUAGACAGUUUCUUUGGAAUUUGGGGGAAACUAAAUAUUGCAAUUUUUAUCAGUUAAGAUCCAAUGUUAAAGUUUAUACACAUGAAAAUUAGUGAUAAAAAUGUACAUAGGCCCUUUUUAAAUUAAGCUUUAUAAAAUCCGUUGAGCAGAGCAAGUUCAAAUUUAUCUUUAGGGUAGAAAAUGAUCUUCCAGCUACCCUAUCUGUAGUAUCUGAUUUAAAAAAAAUUGACUCUCCCUAUCAGUCUCAUAGGUGUCUGAUUUUUUUAAAUUAAAAUCUCCUUGAGGCCUGGCUUUAUAAGCUUCUCUUAACCGUUGAGGUCCUUUAGAAUUUAUUUGCUUUAUGUUUUUCUUGUUCUUCCUCACAGCUAGCCAGGCUUGGUUAGGAAAAAAAGCCAUUUGUCUUCAUUGGUUUCUGUCUUCAUUUUUUGAGGCUGUUCUUUAAAGGUUCUUGGCAGGUAGGAGGUAGGGUGGGGGGCAAAGUGGAGCGAUCUCAUCCUUCAGCUAUUCGACUGGAGGGCCAGUGCUUCCUCUCUGUUUACACAUCUGUUAAAGACCCUGUGUGGUCGUCCGCACAUACUGAGCCCCCACUUCCUUCAGAGAGCCACGAUGCUGUGUAGGGAGUGGAUAUUGUUUAGGGUUGGACGAUGAAAAACUACUUAGCCCCUGUCUUCUACAUGACCCCCUGUGGAGAAGACUGGGUCUAAAGGAGACCAAAACUAGAAUUUUCAUCAGUGCAUUGAAGUGCCUACCUGGUAAUUCCAGAUCUGCAACAUAUUAAUUUCCAGCAUACAAAGGCUGCAAAGGAAUGUUUUUUUUUUUUUCACUCACAACCUAGCUUUGGUUUCUGUUUUUUCCAUGGACAUUGGUGGUCCUGGGCAGGGCAGUCUGUUACCCUGUAUUUUAAUCUGUUUUGUUUGAAUAACAGUCAUGGUAAUAUUUUCCAUGUGCCCAAAAGGUGGACGAAAAUUACAUCAUAAAGGGCUGUGAAAUACUUUCAAUAAGAAUUUGAGCCAGUACAACAUUUUCGCCUUUCUGAUUUCUUCUUACACUUUCCUUUCAGGCAAAUGAUGCUUAUCUUCAGAUGGCCAUUGGAAAUGCGCCUUGGCCCAUCGGUGUCACUAUGGUUGGUAUCCAUGCCAGAACUGGCAGAGAAAAGAUUUUUUCCAAGCAUGUUGCACAUGUUUUAAAUGAUGAAACUCAGCGGAAAUAUAUUCAGGUAAGCAGUUUGGAGAGCCGGGAAUUGCCCUGGAAGUGAAUAUUCUCUAAUUCCCAAAACUCUAAGUCUGGAAAGCAGGCAGAGAAUUACAGCAAAUAGAACAUAGCGUGAUAGGAUGGAAGUCCCCUCUGGAUAAGCACUGACACUGAAGCCACCUUCACUGAAUAAAAUAAAAACCUUUCAACUUUCAUAUAUGUUGGAAGACAGGGUGAAGUAUUGUGCUUUAAUUACCUUAGCACUGAAAUAAAAUGAUUGCAGUUUGCUUUUUUUUUUUAAGACGUGUAUUAGCAAGUAAAAGUUGAGCUCAUCAGAGAAAUGUGGGAGUUUAGUGAAGAGCAACAAACUUAGAGUAUUUUACAAUAAAUCCUGCUUUGUUGCUUUCAAGGUAAAUCUAACAUCUACUGGGUUCAAAAUGUAUGGAGAGUGAAGACUUGGCUUUAAUGUACGUAGCAUGUAACAACACUUCUUUAGUCAUGUGAAUAGGUCUAAAGUGCUGAUGGUUUGUUUUCUUCAAGUUACACAUGCUUCACAUAAACUUGUUGGUACUGUUGUUGGGCUAAACUUUUCUCCCUAGUGGGAAGAAAAUAACCAUAAUGUAGUGUUUGCCAGAUUGUCAUAAAUCCCAGAUUGUGUCUGUAAAAUGACUUGCUGGAUGAUAGUUCUAAAACUUGACAGUGAUGCUCCGGAAGUUUACUUAAAAUUUGAAGUUCACUUAAAAUGCAUAAAGUGCUUUCAGAUUUUGUGCCAGAGAACAGUCAUUACCAUAUUCAUGAAUUAUCUUUUUGUUUUUAUUUCACUUCCAAGUGCUGAAUGUUAAUUCGUGUCAUGCUUUAUGCCUUAGUCACAUAUAAUAGCUUUUUAAAAUAUGAUUUCAAUCGGACUCCCUCAUGUGAACUGUAUACAGAGUUCAAAUAUACUUCUGGAAAUUCAAACACAUUUCCAUUUUUUAAUAACCACCAGUGAGUGUAUUAAAGGCAGAAGCUUUUAGCUGAAAAAAAAAAAAGUUGCUUAGCUUUAACAAUAGAAAACAGGUUCCAAAGAUUAAAUUUGCUAAUUGUGUUCAUCUAUAUUGUGGCCAAAGGUAUAGUGUAUAAAAGUUCAUAUGAUUAAAUCAGUCGUCUGAAAGACAUUUCUUAUAAACAGUGAUGUGAUUUUCACCUCCCCGAGGAGUCAUUUUUUUUUUAAGUGUACCUAGCAUUUAUUCAAGAAUUCUGGUUUAUUUUGGAAGCUAUGUAAUGACCUGUCCUUACUCCAUUGUUCUUCCUUUUUAACUGUUCUCUUCCCAUUAAAAAAAAUUCUUCUUUUGCCCACUAGGUGAUUAGAGAAAAUUGAUGAGCAUACUGUAUUUGAAAUUUAGCUAGGUGUUUGAUGCAGACCCAAUGGUAUUCUUGUGGAUAGGGCAAAUCGGCUGGACUCAUAGCUCAUUGACAGAGGGAAGCCAUGGAGCAUUAAAUAAUGGACUCGUGUCUCUUAGGGUAGAUGCUAGAGAUGUAUGUCAGGGGUCUUAGGGACCUCAGUGCUGUCCUGUCGAACCUUUUAGUGACUGACUUGGAUGACUAUACCAAAGGAUGGGUUUAUCAGGUUUGCAGACAGCAAGAAACUAGAAGGGAUGGAGUGUAUGUUAAGGUGGAAAAGAAACUGCUAUUCUAGAAGUUCUUGACAGACGAGAGAGAAGGGCAGAGUCUAAAAAUACAAUAUUUAGGAAGGAAGGAUUACCAUAAGAAAAUUGGAUCCAUAUACCCUUUUGCUUAAGCUUAUAAUUUGGGCAGUGGAUAUAAAAAAGAAUUAGAGGCUGAGCAUGGUGGCUCACACCUGUAACCCCAACACUUCGAGAGGCUGUGGCGGGAAGAUUGCCUGAGGCCGGGAGUUUAAGACUAGCCUGGGCAACAUAGCGAGACCCCAUUUCUACAAAAAAUAGAAACUAGCCAGGCAUGGUUGUGUGUGCCUGUAGUCCUAGCUACUUGAGAGGUUGAGGCAGAAGGAUCUCUUCAGCCUGGGAGUUCAAGGUUGCAGUGAUUUGUGAUUGCAUCACUGCACUUCAGACAGAGCAAGACCCUGUCAAAAAAAAAAAAAAAAAAAAAGAAAGAAUUUAGUGGACUAAAUUUAGUGUAAUAAAAUUUGUAGUAUGAUAUGGCCACCUACUAACUUAGUGUAGGUUCUCCAGGGCAAGAACAUAGUUCAGUAUUGUACCCCUAGAAUCUAGAACAAUAUCUGACUCAUGGUGGGUGCUUAAUAAAUAUUUGCUAAUUGAAUGAAUUCAUGAUAGAGCAAGAGAGGUUAUAAUAAUUGCUCUUUUUCUAGUCCUCGAGAAAGGAGACUUUUGGUGAGAAUCUGGGCAAGAGUUCUAGAUCAGCGGUCCCUGACAUCUUUGGCACCAGGGACUGGUUUCAUGGAAGACAAUUUUUCCAUGGAUCGGGGAGGUCAGGGGGAUGGUUUCAGGAUGAAACUGUUCCACCUCAGAUCAUCAGGUGUUAGUAAGGAGCAUGCAACCUCGAUCCCUCACAUGUGCUGUUCACAAUAGGAUUUGCGCUCCUGUGAGAAUCUAAUGCCAGGACAGAGGAGAGCAGAGCUUAGGUGCUAAUUCUCUUGCCCUCUGCUCACCUCUGCUGUGUGGCCCAUUUCCUGACCGGCCACGGACUAGUGCUGGCCUGUGGCCCAGGGAUUGGGGACUUCCUGCUAUAGAAAAUGGUAGAACUUUCUGAUGGAAGAGGAUUAAACUUGUUUUAUACAAUUGGACAGAUUUUUAGUUAGUGUAAGACAAAGCUUUUUCAGAAAACGUUUUUAUUUUGAAAUAAUUAUAGACUCACAAGAAGUUGCAAAAAAUAGUAAGAAGCUUUUUAAUAGGCAGAAUUGUCCCAAGGUGGGAGAUGGAGGAAGACACCCACCUCUUGAUGUCUGGAGGCAUAAAACAUUGCCCUUUUUGGCCCUUCUGGCCAGAUUCCUCUCAUUCUUUUCUGCCAUUUUCCCUAGAGGCCAUUGCUUAAACCUCAAGUUUCAACUCAUGCGCCCAAGAGUCACUAAGAUAACGAGUGAGCUGAGGGUUAAACCUCUGGCCUCUGUCUUCCACUUUCCUACUCCUUAUGUAGGUGCAACUAGAAGCUGCAUUUCAUUUUCCUCUCACCUGUGCUGUAAGAGAAAUGAGCAAUGCAGAAGCGCUACUGAGUGUCAGUGAUGCUUGGCCUCUCUGUUGAUGAAUUCACUUGAGCUCAUCGUUACCUUGUAGGAAUAUGGUUCCAAUGUUGCUGGAUCUUCCAUUUUUUUUUUAAUGAGAAGGAAAAUCUUGGUUUUUGAAAAAAAAGUAUUCUCCUAUUUUUAAAUGUUGGCAUCAAAUAAAAAAAUUAACAUUGUGUAAGGCUAAACAGAAUGCCAGUUUGUGAUCUGUGUCUUAAACCCAUAGUGUAACUCAAGCAGAAGAAUGUGGCCACCCUAUGUUAGAGUUUUGUAAAAUUCUUGGUUACAAUUUACUGAGUGAUUUACUAAGCUGUCUAAAGAACGUUCGUCUUGUUACUUUGGUAUCUGGAUGAGAUUAAUUUGAAUUCUCCUUAAAAAAAAGACAAUUUAUUAUGUGAAGUUUAAGUCAAGGGUUGGCAAAAUUUUUCUUAAAGGAUCAGAUAGUAAAUAUCUUGGGCUUUGUACUUCUUGCCAUCUCUAACUACUCACCCAUGCAGCUAAGGCACAAAAGCAGCCAGUGGCUGUGUUCCAGUAAAACCAUGUAGAAAAGAGGCAAGUGGGCUGAGAACCACAGUUUGCUGCCCCGUAGUAAAUGUAUGAACGAACCCAAAACCUUUUUUACCCUAAGAUAUUGGCCGCAGAGGUAAUUAUGAAAAUCAUUUAAUAAUUAUUUCUUUUUAAAUUGCGGUAUAAAAUGCCUCGAUGCCUCAACAAACAUUGUAGUGCUUGAAGUCUGCUACCUUAAUGGUAUAGCCCAAUGAUUCUUGAUACGUGUCAUGUAUAUCAAGCUGUAAAACAAGAUCUGGAGUUAGAACACUUCCAGCAGGUUCCUUCAUGCCUGUUCCCAGCCUGAAUCCUCCUCCUCCUAUCAGAAGUAACCAUUAUUCUAACAUGUGCCAUUAUUGGUUAGUUUUGCCUGUUCUUGAGCAUCAUGUAAAUGGAAACUUGUAAUGUCUGAGAUAAUUAUUUUUUUAUUUAGAAAUACUGGUGAAAAAUAUGUUUUAUGAAAUAUGAUAGACAAUAAUUCAAGGGGCAGUUUCACUGGAACAUAGAUUUCAUGUUUUGGUUUUAUGCAAACCUCUGUAGAACUUAAACAAUGAAAGUUAUUGGAAGUGUUCUAUUUCUCACAAAAAUUAAAUAUACCACAAGGAGGGUUCUCUCCAGGCAGAUCAAAGGAAAGUUCUAUAGCUUACUGGCUUGCUUCAAGUCCAGGGUUAGGUAGAAAUUGGUGGUAGUAGCUUUAAGGUCUUUGUUCAUUCUUCCAAAUAGAGAUGUAACCACUGUGCCAGACUUUGGGUAAAGCUUCUUUUACAUAGAUUAUAGGAAGCUCUGGGUUAUUUAGAAACUUUAUAAUUCAGUCAUUCCCAGAUAGCUCUUGAAAAAGUUCACAUCUUGGGCAUUCUUUAUUUGUCAAAAAUAAGGGAAGGGAGGUAGACAGGAGAAAAAGAUGAGGUGAAAUGCAUGUCAAAGAGCUGUUGCCAUACCAGAGCUACUCUUAUCCUUCCUCACUGUGUUCCCUCCAAACGUGACUUUACCAGCAACACUGAUAGGCACCCUUGCCCUGUGGCUUCUGACUGGAGCAGGCGAUGAGAGGGACUGGAAGGCGUUUUGUAGGUUGGAGAAGAAUGAGUUUAGGGUAUUGAUUUUCCCAACUUGCUCCCUGGAGGGGCCCCUAGGGUGACUGCAUCCCUCUGCCCGAGGCUGUCGCUUCUCUCGGGUGGCUGUCUCCAUACAGCUACCCUCCCUAGGUUCCAGUGGCCACUCUCCUCGUUUGCCUUCAGAAUUCGGGCUAGCCACAGCUUCCCAGGAUUGCCAGCGCUAGGUUGCUCUACUGUGUCUUGUUGGUCCUAAGUCCAGCCCACUCCUUUGUAACAUCCUCGAAACUACUACCAUCACAUUAUCCAGUUCGACUGCUGGCAUCCUCCUCGAUAUGUAUAGAUGAAUUGAUCUAUGCACUGUGUUACAGAUUCCUUUGGAGGUUAGAAGAUUAAGGAAUAAUAAUCUUCUAAUGAUUUCCGUUAAGCUUUUGCUAUUACAAAAGGUAAAUAUCCUAUAAUAUUAUUCUCUGGCAAGUUGUUUUCAGUAAGCUUAAGUUUAUAAGUUUCCUAGUAAAGACAUCAUCCCAAUAUUUUAUGUCAAUUAUUUCAAUCCAUGUUUCAGGUUUUGGCAUAUUUCAUCUAUGCUAGCAUUUGCCAAAUUUAUCUGUCCAUGGAACAUUUGUGAGUUUGUAAUGUGUUCACGUGUUACCAAAACUGGUAUAACAGAAACAUUCAUGACUGCAAUAAGUGAUCACAGCUUGAUCUGUAUGUUGCACACACAGUAUCAUAGCUGUUGGUAAAUGCUCCCAUGCCUCAGUGCUCUAAUGUAUGUCACACACUUGUGGGUUGAGUGGCUUCAUGCCACAGCCUGGCAUUCUGGGCUAUGGUAAGCUGUUUCCUAAAGGCAAGUUGUUGCAUGAUGACAGCUGUCUACCCCCUUAAUCUUCCUGGCAUAUUAAAAGAGUACAUUUUAAGAGAAAAAUACUGCUAGCAUUUAUGUUUUACAUAGGAAUACCUUUUAAUGUCAUAGAACACUAGUGUGUUUUGGAAACAGAUUUGGGGGAAUGCUGAUCUAAACUGGGCCAUGCUGCUUUCUAGCUGGCAGCUUAGUUGAUGGUAAAGAGGCAUUUUACUGUAGGGUAUUACAUCUUAAAUUUCUCAACCACACGGUUGGAAAAAAAGCCAGACCAGUCUCUAUUGUGAAAGCCUGGUACUCACGUAAAUGAAAUCUUCCCUCAAAUUAGUCAUUUGGAGUAUGUUUUUACUUAAUUUUUGAGUUGUUGUUUGUAAUUUGGUGUAACUUUCUGUGAAAUAAACCCUUGCACUGGAAACUUGUUCUCGUGUAGAAAACAAAAAUACAGAGAAGUAAAAAGAGCAG